rnacentral:rRNA from 1 species
CCUACGGGUGGCAGCAGUAGGGAAUAUUGCUCAAUGGGGGAAACCCUGAAGCAGCAACGCCGCGUGGAGGAUGAAGGUUUUCGGAUUGUAAACUCCUUUUUUUAGAGAAGAUAAUUACGGUAUCUAACGAAUAAGCACCGGCUAACUCCGUGCCAGCAGCCGCGGUAAUACGGAGGGAGCAAGCGUUAUUCGGAAUCACUGGGCGUAAAGAGCGCGUAGGCGGGAUAGCAAGUCAGAUGUGAAAUCCUAUGGCUUAACCAUAGAACUGCAUUUGAAACUGUUAUUCUAGAGUAUGGGAGAGGUAGGUGGAAUUCUUGGUGUAGGGGUAAAAUGCGUAGAGAUCAAGAGGAAUACUCAUUGCGAAGGCGACCUGCUAGAACAUAACUGACGCUGAUGCGCGAAAGCGUGGGGAGCAAACAGGAUUAGAUACCCUGGUAGUC